rnacentral:rRNA from 1 species
GUAGUCGUAACCACGUAGCCGUUAGUACUUGCCCGUCGAGCGAAUGGAUUAAGAGCUUGCUCUUAUGAAGUUAGCGGCGGACGGGUGAGUAACACGUGGGUAACCUGCCCAUAAGACUGGGAUAACUCCGGGAAACCGGGGCUAAUACCGGAUAACAUUUUGAACCGCAUGGUUCGAAAUUGAAAGGCGGCUUCGGCUGUCACUUAUGGAUGGACCCGCGUCGCAUUAGCUAGUUGGUGAGGUAACGGCUCACCAAGGCAACGAUGCGUAGCCGACCUGAGAGGGUGAUCGGCCACACUGGGACUGAGACACGGCCCAGACUCCUACGGGAGGCAGCAGUAGGGAAUCUUCCGCAAUGGACGAAAGUCUGACGGAGCACCGCCGCGUGAGUGAUGAAGGCUUUCGGGUCGUAAAACUCUGUUGUUAGGGAAGAACAAGUGCUAGUUGAAUAAGCUGGCACCUUGACGGUACCUAACCAGAAAGCCACGGCUAACUACGUGCCAGCAGCCGCGGUAAUACGUAGGUGGCAAGCGUUAUCCGGAAUUAUUGGGCGUAAAGCGCGCGCAGGUGUUUCUUAAGUCUGAUGUGAAAGCCCACGGCUCACCGUGGAGGGUCAUUGGAAACUGGGAGACUUGAGUGCAAAAAGGAAAGUGAAUUCAUGUGUAGCGGUGAAUGCGUAGAGAUAUGGAGGAACCCAGGGGAAAGGCGACUUUCUGGUCUUGUAAUUGAACUGAGCCCGAAAGCGUGGGGAGCAAAAGGAUA